GAGUGAUCGAAAGAUGAAAAGCACUUUGAAAAGAGAGUUAAACAGCACGUGAAAUUGUUGAAAGGGAAGCGUUUGCGACCAGACUCGCCCGCGGGGUUCAGCCGGCACUCGUGCCGGUGUACUUCCCCGUGGGCGGGCCAGCGUCGGUUUGGGCGGCCGGUCAAAGGCCCUCGGAAUGUAUCACCUCUCGGGGUGUCUUAUAGCCGAGGGUGC
rnacentral:rRNA from 1 species